GACCAAGAAGUCUAACAUGUGUGCGAGUCAUUGGGUAUAUUGUUGAAACCUAAGGGCGCAAUUAAAAUAACUAUUUUAUGGGAUUACAAGUGAAUUAACUUUCAUUUCUCCAUCCCGGGGCGUUCUAUACGAACAUGGUGCAAGCAAUUGAACCCUCUGUUCAAGAGCGUACCUUGAGCAUACAUGCUGUGACCCGAAAGAUGGUGAACUAUACCUGAUCAGAUCGAAGCCAGGAGAAAUUCUGGUGGAGGAUCGAAACAGUUCUGACGUGCAAAUCGAUUGUCAGAAUUGGGUAUAGGGGCGAAAGACCAAUCGAACCAUCUAGUAGCUGGUUCCCUCCGAAGUUUCCCUCAGGAUAGCUGGCGCAAAGAAUUAUAUUGUAUAUAAUCUUAUCUGGUAAAGCGAAUGAUUAGAGGCCUUGGGGCCGAAACGACCUCAACCUAUUCUCAAACUUUAAAUGGGUAAGAACCUCAUCUUUCUUGAUCUGAAGAUAUUGGGGUUUAGAUAUAUUGUGCCCAGUGGGCCACUUUUGGUAAGCAGAACUGGCGCUGUGGGAUGAACCAAACAUGAUGUUACGGCGCCUAAAUUAAUGACUCAUAUUGAUACCAUGAAAGGCGUUGGUUGCUUAAAACAGCAGGACGGUGGACAUGGAAGUCGUAAUCCGCUAAGGAGUGUGUAACAACUCACCUGCCGAAGCAACUAGCCCUUAAAAUGGAUGGCGCUCAAGUCAUAUGCCUAUACAUCAUCGCUAGAACAAAAAUUGUUGACCAUCAGGUCAUCAUUAUGAAGUUCUAGUGAGUAGGAGGGUACAAUGGUGUGCGCAGAAGUGUUUGGCGUGAGCCUGCAUGAAGCCGCCAUUGGCACAGAUCUUGGUGGUAGUAGCAAAUAAUCGAAUGAGAUCUUGGAGGACUGAAGUGGAGAAGGGUUUCGUGUGAACAGUGGUUGAUCACGAGUUAGUCGGUCCUAAGCUUUAUGCGAAAGCUGUUUAAUUUAUGUUACACACACAAUUUUAUUUUGUUGUACAUAAUUCAAUAAAAGCGAAAGGGAAUACGGUUCCAAUUCCGUAACCUGUUGAGUAUACGUUUGUUUAUUAAAAAUGGGUCUUAUUACACUCAUCCUGGCAACAGGAACGACCAUAGAGAAGCCUUCGAGAGAUACUGGAAGAGUUUUCUUUUCUGCUAAACAAUCGUAUCACCAUGGAAGUCUUUUAUAGAGAGAUAUGGUGGAUGGAUUGGAAGAGCAUGACAUUUACUGUUGUGUCAGUAUUUUCUCCUUGGACCUUGAAAAUCUAUGGUGGGGCCACGCAAACUUCUCAACAGACCGUACCGAUAUCCGCAG
rnacentral:rRNA from 1 species